UGGCUUGGAAGCAGCCAUUCAUUUAAAGAGUGCGUAACAGCUCACUAGUCGAGGAGUCCGGCGUGGAUAAUACUCGGGCAUAAACUGUUUACCGAAGCUAUGGAUGUAGAAAUACAUGGUAGGGGAGCAUUCCAACGGCGUCGAAGGUGAAGGAUGACCUUUGCUGGAGCUUUUGGAAACGCAAAUGUAGGUAUAAGUAACGAUAAAGGAGGUGAGAAACCUCCUCGCCGAAAGACUAAGGUUUCCUGAUCAACGUUAAUCGGAUCAGGGUAAGUCGGGACCUAAGGUUAAGCCGAACGGCGAUACCGAUGGAAGAAUGGUUUAAUAUUCCCAUACUACUUUAUGGAGCGAUGUGGAGACGGAGAAGUGAAAGUCCUGCCAUCUGACGGAAUAGGUGGUUGAAGAGUGUAGAUGUAGAUUCCUGUAGGCAAAUCCGCAGGGAGAGUCGACCUUGAUAGUAUGCCGCGUGCUUGCACAAGGCAAAAUGGACGUAAUCAGGCUCCCAAGAAAAUCCGCUAAGCAUAUUCAUAAAGUACCCGUACCGUAAACGGACACACGUAGUUGGGUUGAAAAUACUGAGGCGCUCGAGUGAUUCACGGUUAAGGAACUAGGCAAAUUGACCCUGUAACUUCGGGAUAAAGGGUCCCUACUGAGAGGUAGGGCGCAGAGAAUAGGUCCAGGCAACUGUUUAACAAAAACACAUGGCUGUGCGAAAUAGAAAUAUGAAGUAUACAGCCUGACACCUGCCCGGUGCUGGAAGGUUAAGAGGAGAGCUCAUCGCAAGAGAAGGCUUGAAUUGAAGCCCCAGUAAACGGCGGCCGUAACUAUAACGGUCCUAAGGUAGCGAAAUUCCUUGUCGGGUAAGUUCCGACCUGCACGAAUGGUGUAAUGAUCUGGACACUGUCUCAACCGUGAGCUCGGUGAAAUUGUAGUAUCGGUGAAGAUGCCGAUUACCCGCGAUGGGACGAAAAGACCCCGUGAACCUUUACUAUAGCUUUACAUUGAAUUUGGGCAAUCGAUGUGUAGGAUAGGCCGGAGACCGUGAAGCAGGUACGCCAGUAUUUGUGGAGUCGCCGUUGAAAUACGGCCCUUUGGUUGUUUGAGUUCUAACCCGCAGAAGCGGGGACACUGUAUGGUGGGUAGUUUGACUGGGGUGGUCGCCUCCAAAAGAGUAACGGAGGCUUCUAAAGGUACCCUCAGACCGAUUGGUAACCGGUCGUAGAGUGUAAUGGCAUAAGGGUGCUUGACUGGGAGACAGACAAGUCGAUCAGGUAGGAAACUAGAGCAUAGUGAUCCGGUGGUUCCGCAUGGAAGGGCCAUCGCUCAAAGGAUAAAAGGUACUCCGGGGAUAACAGGCUGAUCGCUCCCAAGAGCUCAUAUCGACGGAGCGGUUUGGCACCUCGAUGUCGGCUCGUCACAUCCUGGGGCUGGAGAAGGUCCCA
rnacentral:rRNA from 1 species